rnacentral:rRNA from 1 species
UACGUAGGGUGCAAGCGUUAAUCGGAAUUACUGGGCGUAAAGCGUGCGCAGGCGGCUUCGCAAGUCAGACGUGAAAUCCCCGGGCUUAACCUGGGAAUGGCGUUUGAAACUACGGAGCUGGAGUAUGGCAGAGGGGGGUGGAAUUCCACGUGUAGCGGUGAAAUGCGUAGAUAUGUGGAGGAACACCGAUGGCGAAGGCAGCCCCCUGGGCCAAUACUGACGCUCAUGCACGAAAGCGUGGGGAGCAAACAGG